rnacentral:rRNA from 1 species
CCAGACUCCUACGGGAGGCAGCAGUGGGGAAUAUUGGGCAAUGGGCGCAAGCCUGACCCAGCAACGCCGCGUGAAGGAAGAAGGCUUUCGGGUUGUAAACUUCUUUUAAGAGGGAGGAGAAGAAGACGGUACCUCUUGAAUAAGCCACGGCUAACUACGCGCCAGCAGCCGCGGUAAUACGUAGGUGGCAAGCGUUGUCCGGAUUUACUGGGCGUAAAGGGAGCGCAGGCGGCGCGCCAAGUCUGAUGUGAAACCCCGGGGCUCAACCCCGGGCAUGCAUUGGAAACUGGCGGGCUGGAGUGCCGGAGAGGUAAGCGGAAUUCCUAGUGUAGCGGUGAAAUGCGUAGAUAUCAGGAGGAACACCGGUGGCGAAGGCGGCCUGCUGGACUGCAACUGACGUUGAGGCCUGAAAGCGUGGGGAGCAAACAGGAUUAGAUACCCGAGUA